AGGGACUUGGGACAGGCCGCGAGGGGAGGCGCGGGGCUCUGGCGCUCGUGGCCGAGCCUGCCCGCGACGGUGGUACGGCACGACCCGCGCGCGACUGCGCGCGCGUCUCUCUUAACCGUGGCCACGCCCGCGCCGGUGGACGACGUAACAGAGGCCUGGCCUACGACUGUUUCCUAGCACACUAACAGACAGUAGAUGGUGAAUAAAUGAAGACAAGACUGACCGUGCCUUCCAGGAACUUAGAUUCCAAUGGAGAAGAGAGA
rnacentral:lncRNA from 1 species